rnacentral:rRNA from 1 species
AUCUACGGCCACACCACCCUGAAUGCCCCGAUCUCGUCUGAUCUCGGAAGCUAAGGAGGGUCGGGCCUGGUUAGUACUUGGAUGGGAGAAAUUCCAUCAUUUCUGAAAUACAGCUCAGAGAGGUC